AACUGACUGUCUUAGAGAGUUCUUCAUAGAGUGCGUAUAUCAAGGCGAGCAACAGCAUAUCGCUUCUGACCCAAGCCAAGUGGUUGUCGACGAUAGAGGGGAGGAUGGUCCCUGGCGCUGCUCGUUGCCCCACCCGUGGAUAUUCCGGUCUAACCAAACAAGUAUCGCCUCUGUCGGUCGGUAUCUCGACCCGUAGAUCGGAUCGCGAUCGAUAGUUACGCCAAUGGGUUGAAACGAGGCAGCGGAGAGAGAAAGAGAAAGGAGAAGAAGAGAGGAGAGCGGCGGCCGAUGGCGCGGCAGAUACGCGCCAGAUGACACCUGGAAGAAAAGACGCUUAAACACAGACUCCUUUCACUUCCUAAACACCUCAAAAUUCGCAAGUACAUGAACAUCGGUAUCUCGUUGAUUUUUUAAUCGUCUCAAUAACGUUUACGUAUACCGUUGCCAGAGAAGAAGAAGAAGAAGAAGAAGAAGAAGAAGAAUAAGAAGCGAAAUUUGGACGAAGAAAACCGAUAGAGUGGCAGAUUGUACGGAGAGGCGUGCAGUGGAAGAUUGAAAUUAAUCAGCUCUUGGACGGAUCAUUAUUUCUAUUAUCCUGCGUUUCGCUCUCAGCAAGUUUCACAGCGAAGGACAGCGGACUUUCUCAAAUUUCACGUGUAUUAUUUACUCAAUUGGUCACGGUUCUUCCCUCUCGCUGGCCUUCUUAAUAGACGGCCAGAUGGAGUUAGUCAAUGCCUAAUGAAUUACUUAUCGCUGAGGGAGGAUCGGGGCAGCGAGAAAAGGGCGAGGGAGAUUUGAUUAAUGAUUAUAGUUGUUCGGUUAACAUCUGAGAUUCCGCUUUUUUCUCCCCUGCUGUAUUAUUGGCUUCUACUGUAAACUUAUUAACCUUACGUUUUCAUCCGUCCUUUCUUUUGUAUGUUUUCUUUGUGAAUGAUUAUAUAUGGGAGGCAGGCUCGGGUAAAUUUGAUUUCUAAUACAAAUAAAAAAUAACUACUCGAAAGAGGGGAUCGUUCGUUACUUUUAACUGAAGAAACGACAGAGGGAAAAAUAUCAAUCGUUUUAUAGCGAGCUAUUUAAUAGCGACAUAA